CCUGUUUCACACAUUUUUUGAAUCUAUUUUGUCUUACAAACACAGACCACUCACCACAAACCAGAGGCCCUCUCACCACCGAUUGUCACUACCACCGUCCGUCCCCACCGUCGCACGUCGCCACCACCACCGCCGACACCAAAAUCACCACCAACACUGCCGCAAAUCACAGUGGUUUGGUAUGGUUGGAAGAAUUGGGCAUUUGAUUGAAUUGAUUACCCAAAUUUGGAGUAGAACUGGGUAAGCAGGUCAGAAGUGCUGUUAGGAUUAAGAACACUAGCAGGUCUGAUGUUGCUUUCAAGUGUUCAAGUUCAUGGAGCAUCCAGAAAAAAAUGAGAAACAAAUAGAUUAGAGCAGCAAGGUCAAGUUUAAAAUCAUGAGUUUGAAAGUGAAAAAAGGGAUGGAUUAUAUGUAUCUGAAUUGGUGAGUCAUAUGGCCCCUACAGUAUUUUACCUCUAUCUAUUGAACUUGGAUGAUUGAUAUCUAUCUUACCUCAAUUUAUUUUAUUUGGGGUAAGUAGUUUUUUUUCUUCAACUAUAUUGCUUUUCUAUAUUGAAUGUGAGAUAAUCAAGCUUUGGCUUUGUUCAA